rnacentral:rRNA from 1 species
UACGUAGGGUGCAAGCGUUAAUCGGAAUUACUGGGCGUACAGCGUGCGCAGGCGGUUUUGUAAGUCUGACGUGAAAGCCCCGGGCUCAACCUGGGAAUUGCGUUGGAGACUGCAAGGCUUGAAUCUGGCAGAGGGGGGUAGAAUUCCACGUGUAGCAGUGAAAUGCGUAGAGAUGUGGAGGAACACCGAUGGCGAAGGCAGCCCCCUGGGUCAAGAUUGACGCUCAUGCACGAAAGCGUGGGGAGCAAACAGG